rnacentral:lncRNA from 1 species
GGAACUUCUCAUCCUUGACUUAGCAGGACAACUGUCAGAUCUUGAGCUAGAGGCAGCUGCCUAAAGUUGAGAUGGCAAAGAAGCUAAAGAUUUACUUGGGACGUGAUUUGGUCCAAAGGAUAUGAUAUCAACAGAGCAAAUUCCAGGAGCUGGUUAGUGUGGCAUGCAAUUCACAGCUCACAUCUGGGGCUUAAGAAACCCUCCGCCAGGGCCCAGUGGCAUAUGCUGGCUGGCCAUGAAUACUGCCAUUGAAGACAGCACUGUAGCCAAGGGUGAGGUUACAGCAACACUGAACACCACAUACAAAAGAAUCACUCAAAAUGCAGCAGAUUCCUCUGCUUUGGAUGAGACCAUUUCCAGUGAAUCAACGAUGGAGGCUCUUGGAUGAGAUGAAUGGGAUUUCGAAAUGGAAAUCUUCCCAUCCCCCAAGCACACCCUGAACCCAAGGAUGGAAUUUCUGUGUGGCCAGCAAGGACUUAUCUUCGGAAGCUUCCAAGAAUUUCCAAGGGAAAAAGGUUGUAUUUUGGCAACGUUAGGGUCCACUUGAUUUUCCUUUACUUUCACAUAUUUGGCUUGAGGAUUAUCCAUCUUUGGUCCAAAGGAAGUAGAAUCAUGCAGCUACUGUUAAAAUUGCUCAGUCAGCUACUUCUGGAAGAAAAUCAGCAUGGUGGAUGUCUAGAAGCAAAUAUUGUACAAAAUGAACAGAGUGCUAGAAAUGACUUCACAAAGACACAUUCAAAUUCUGAUUCAGCCACUUCUAAGAACCUGAGCAAGUCACUUGAUGACUCUCAGACUUCAGUUUCCUCAUCUGUAAAAUGCAGAUAAUAAUAGUAUUAUGGGUAGUAGAGAAAGCGAAGGCAACCCCAUUUUGCCUGUAACUCCUCUAUUUUGCCCCUGACCAUGUUGGUGUUACAAUCCCCAUCCUGUCUUCUACCUUCCUUUCUGGGGAGUUGGCAAGAACAAUCUUCUCUUAUACAGUGGGAUUAUAAACCAGAGCUAACCUGAAGAAGAACCUUUCUAUUGCUAGCCCCCAGCAACUGUCCAAUCCCAAAAUGCCCCAUGCCCAAGUCAUCACCUGCCCAAAAGGAAACCUAUAGAAGCUUGAUCCUUUUGUUCUUUUGGAGGAGUCUCUGCCCAUGUCAGUGGCGCUCCCAUGCUGGUCAACUCAAUAAACCUUCCUUGGUUCCUCA